GACGAACGCUGGCGGCGUGCCUAACACAUGCAAGUCGAACGAAGAAUGUUUUCGGAAUAUUCUUAGUGGCGGACGGGUGAGUAACGCGUGAACAAUCUGCCCCGUACAAAGGGGUAGCCUCGGGAAACCGGGAUUAAAACCAUAUAACACUUAACUGCCGCAUGGUAGUGAAGUCAAAUCGAUUAAGAGGUAUGGGAUGAGUUCGCGUCUGAUUAGCUAGUUGGUGAGGUAAGGGCUCACCAAGGCGACGAUCAGUAGCCGGCCUGAGAGGGUGAACGGCCACACUGGAACUGAGACACGGUCCAGACUCCUACGGGAGGCAGCAGUGGGGAAUAUUGCACAAUGGAGGGAACUCUGAUGCAGCGACGCCGCGUGAGUGAAGAAGGUCUUCGGAUCGUAAAACUCUGUCCUUGGUGAAGAAAAGGACGGUAGCCAAGGAGGAAGCCCCGGCUAACUACGUG
rnacentral:rRNA from 1 species